GGUGUGGUGAUGAUCCGCGCAGGGGUACGGACCUCAGCCAGUGAUGGGGGCUGAGCUCUGCUGCAGGGAACUGAUCAGGAACGUGUGGUUCUGUCAGAACCGGCAGCAGAGCGACACAGACGCCUGUCUGAACACC
rnacentral:snoRNA from 1 species